UACGUAGGGGGGCGAGCGUUUGUCCGGAUUCAUUGGGCGUAAAGGGUGCGUAGGUGGCGCCGUAAGUCAGGUGUGAAAUUUCGGAGCUUAACUCCGAAACUGCAUUUGAUACUGCGGUGCUUGAGGACUGGAGAGGAGACUGGAAUUUACGGUGUAGCAGUGAAAUGCGUAGAGAUCGUAAGGAAGACCAGUGGCGAAAGGCGGGUCUCGUGGACAGUUCCUGACACUGAGGCACGAAGGCCAGGGGAGCAAACGGG
rnacentral:rRNA from 1 species